AGUGGCGAACGGGUGAGUAAUACAUAAGCAACCUACCCACGAAGACUGGGAUAAUCUCUGGAAACGGGGACUAAUACCGGAUAGGUAAUCGGAAGGCAUCUUCUGGUUAUUAAAGGUUAAAAAACACUGGUGGAUGGGCUUAUGGCGCAUUAGUUAGUUGGUGAGGUAACGGCCCACCAAGACGAUGAUGCGUAGCCGGCCUGAGAGGGUGAACGGCCACAUUGGGACUGAGACACGGCCCAG
rnacentral:rRNA from 1 species